AUUUAAUUUAAUGGCCGCGGUAUUUUGACCGUGCAAAGGUAGCAUAAUCAUUAGUCUAUUAAUUGUGGACUUGUAUGAAUGGUUGGACGAAAUAUUGACUGUCUCAUUUAUUAUUUUUAGAAUUUAAAUUUUAAGUUAAAAUGCUUAGAUUUUUUUAGAGGACGAGAAGACCCUAUAGAUCUUUAUUUAAUAUAUUUUUUAUUAUUUUGGUUUUUAUUUUAUAAAUUUUUUAUUAUUUUUUGUUGGGGUGACAUGGAGAAAUAUUUAACUCUUUAUAUUAUUUUUCAUUGAUUUUUGUUUAUUUGACCUUUUAUUAUUGUUAUAAGAUAUAGAUACCUUAGGGAUAACAGCGUAAUUCUUUUUGAGAGUUCAUAUUGACAAUUGAGAUUGCGACCUCGAUGUUGGAUUAAGAUUAUAAUUAGGUGUAGUUGCUUAAUCAUUAGGUCUGUUCGACCUUUAAAUUCUUACAUGAUCUGAGUUCAAA
rnacentral:rRNA from 1 species